CCCCGGCCCCGGCCCCGGCCCCGGCCCCGGCCUCCCCGCCUGCCUGGUUUUUCAAGUUACUACCGAAAGGCGACCGUGGGGAAGCUCGCGCCCAGCCCGGAGCUUGAACUUGAAGGCGCGGGGCCUGCGCACGACCACACCGCCACCUCCCGGCCGGGAGCCCAGAGCGUCAUGGAAAAAAAAACUUGAACAGCUCUUCAGAUCCACGUCUUCAUUUUCUCAAGAGUGUUACUGGAGUGUGAAUCAGUCCAGCGGUUUGGGAGGAAAGUGUCUGGUAGUGCCUGGAAAAGCUCACACCUGGCCCUACGUGGACGAGCCGUUGAAAUGCAUGUUUGGGAGCAGAGGAAGGGGGCUGGGUGCGCCACCCAGCAUCCACCAGCACUGGAGCGGGUUGUGAGGCGGGUGGAUCCUCCUCAAGUAAAACCUAGAGAUGAAAAUGAAGACCCCCUCCAACACGGAUGAGUGUCCAGGGUGUUGAGUGAAAGAGGCCGAGGCCCAGGCUGCAGGAUUACAUUUGUAGAAGCUACAAAAGAAGCAAAAUUGAACUACGUUGUUUAGGGGUACAUUAUUGGUAAAAAGUUGAGCGAAAGCCAGAAGGUGGUCACCAUGAGUCAAAGUGGUCAGGAUCCUGUUGUCCUGGUAUCGAGGCCCUUCCCUGGGGGCUCCCUGGCUGAGAGUGGGCUCCUCCCUCUGCCUCUGUGUGCUCGCUCUCGCUCUCAAAUAAAUAAAUCUUUUAAAAAAUAAAAACCAGGGGGCAGCCCGGGUGGCUCAGCGGUUUAGCGCCGCCUUCAGCCCAGGGCG